GGAAUGUUGCUACUCGGGACAUUUGUUCUUAGCAAUCUCAGAAGCACUUUUAAGAGUAUAGGAAAACAUUUUGAAAAUAUUUAACACAUCACUGCCGUUUAAGAUAUCAGUAUAUUGCUAAUGUCAAGUGCUGGAAGGAUCUGAAAACUGUCAGUUAUUUCCUGUAUGUCUAUCAAUUAGGGGUCAACAUAGGAUAACUAUUCUAUUCAGGAGUAUAGCUAAAAGCAUCUUAAUUAAGAGACGAUUGACAAAGAGGUAGGCAAGAUUAAAUGAGCAGGCAGUGCAUGCUGAAACCCCCAGGUGUUAGCAAUGAACUGACAGAAGCUAUCACCAUCCUUGGACCUGAAGGAACCUGCUGGAUCCGGUAGGAGCAGAACCGAGCAGCAGGCAGAGCCGAGCAGCAGGCAUGCCAUUCUAGAAAAAACUAAUCUUCCUUCCCCAGGUUUCUUCCUCCUGCCAAAUAAAUCCACAUGCCUGGCUUCCUUGUCAAUGGAGGGGUAGGAAAGGAGUUGUGGGGGUCAAAAGUUGAGCCAGCACAGUGAUCUGUUGUGUAGUGCUGUAGUACCCGAUGUAGAUGCCCUUGGACUAGAAACAGAACGUAGAUAUGUAGAGCUCUUGGAUACAUCCAUCUAAUUAAUGAAAGCACAUCAGAUUUGGGGAGUCCCUUGUGAUUAUUCGAUCAAUGGCUUCAUUAGCUGGAAUAGCUGUGAACUAAGCUAAUGCUAAAUUGAACUUGGCAUCCUGCUCUUGAGAACCAGUCCCCACUCAAAAGGGACUAAGACAACAAGAAGUAAGUCUAAAUCAGCCUGGAAAAAAAUAUUACAUAGAAAGUUACUUCAGUGCCUGAACAAGUGGAACUUAAAGUGUUAUAGUUAAGGUUUUGUUAUUUUUAUUUCCCAAGGAGUGAUUAAAAAUAAGUGGUGACUCAUGGCGUCAGAAUACCAUGGUGACCUGUAACUGCCUCUCUAUGCUAACUUUAUGUUGUGAUAGUAGUAAAUAUUUACCAACUCUACCUCUUAAAAAACACUAUCCUAAACAGUAUGUGAGCCGUGGAUAACCUUUGCCAACACCCCUGUCCCUGUCAUUUUUUCAUGGCUAUCUAAUUUCAAGUCUAACAAAUAUGUGUCAGUCACUAGACAGUGGCUUCAGAAAUGGGGGUCGCUUUAGUUAAAUAACAGAACAUAUGAGCAACAAGAACAGUUUACUGAUGGAUGCCUGGAGCCAUUAACUUCUCAGUGUCCAGCAUAGCUUGGACAGAAUGGACAUUGAUCAAGGACUUCAUUUGCCUUAUGCAUCCUUGGAGAUACAAACUCAGAGCUAAGAGAGAUAAGGGCAAUGGUAUCUCAGCCAGGAACUAAUAAAAAUACUGUCAAUCAAAAUCAGAACUAAACUGAGGGCAAAUACAGAAAUUACAGGACAGCGUGGGAGGAAAUGACAUCUACGUUAACCAGAAAUUAAGUUGGCUCAUGUAUUUUAAAAGAGUAAUUAUUCUUUUAUUUGGUGUACUAAUGAAUUGGAGCUCUACUACAUCAUGUACAAUUCUACCAUUCAAUGGGUAGCCUGUGAGAGCUCAUACAUGAGGAAUUUCUUUAAAAUGUAUAUAAUUCUGAGCUUUCAAAUCAGUGUAUAAUAAACUCUGUGGAAUCAGUCAUGUAUAGAAUCCCAGUCAGAGCAGAUGGGACCCAGGUUGGUGCCACGUAGUGAGGUGACAGGGAUGUGUUAUUCACUGUGGAACUACAGUCUGUCCUUUUCAUUCUGAGAAUACUUACUUCACAGGAGAUGCAUUUUGUGAAGUGAAUUUUCAUAAUCCCAGGACGUAACACCAACAACAGAGAUACAAGUAAUAGCAAUCAAGAUGAAACACAUGAAUCACACUCCUUCAGCACAGGGAAAGCCAUGGUCAAGGGUUGUUAUUGUUGUCUGCCAUGGAGACCAAGUCUAGACUCGACAAGAUAAAAAGCCUUAAGCUCUACAUGCCUCCUUUUGAACUUUGUCACUGUUCCUUAUGACGUAAUUUCUCACAUGGAGAGAUACUGAUACUCCAGCCACAAGCAUGAAGAUCCCUCAAAGUAUACUUGGGAGUUCUUGGAAGGGGUGGUGUGCACCAAGACUCUUGCAGAGAACCCUCAAAGUCCAUUGCUUGUCACAACAGUGCUUAGAGAUCAAUGAUUUUAUUUCUCACGCGUGACAGUUCAGGGACACUUUCCUGUGACCACAGGGCAUAGGAUGGCACCCAUUCUAUAACAGGAACUAUUGGCUGCCCAGCAUUCUGUUUUAGGUAUUCCAGCAAAUAGCACAGCAUAUAAUCCAUAUCAGUAAACGCUGUUAGAGAUCUUCAGUAAUGUAUAAGGGCACAACUGGUUUGUGAGACCAACCCUCAGAGAGCUGAUAGAAUUGAUAGAUGACAGAGCAUCAACAUAUCCCCAUGUAAGAAAAUAUAUCAUAAGGAAUGGGAACAAAGCUCACAAACAGGCAGUAUACCCUGUGACAGGGAUGGGUCCACCAUUAUGACAUCAUCAUAAACCAGUAUGACCCAGACACUGGCUGUUACAUUUUUAGAGUUAGUUUUUAAGUUUCGUUUCUUUCAUAACUGGCCUCCAUUAAUUUUCCACUUCUUUUUAAGAUUACUGGCCUUCAGAGUCGAGUCUGCUUUCAUUCGAUUCUUAACUUAUAAAAAUAUAUAAGUUAUAGAUAGUAUUUUUGUUCUCGUUACACAAUAGGAAUACCUAACAGAGAUAAGCCUUUAUGAAGAACCCCUUGGGCACUGUAAUGUGAAAUAAAAACACUAUUCUAUGCUUACACUCCAGGAGCUGCAAAAUUCUUUAUCAAAGCACUGCAAACUAACGUUAUAUAUUUGGCUUUUGUGUGUUUGACAAAUACACUUUCUCAGCCCCCUCUUUCAUGUACCUAUCUAAAGGAACAGACUAGGUUCCUUAUGUAAGACCCUUAUCAACUUUGGGUCUCUGCCUGUGUAUCAGUCAAGCCUGCAAAAGCAACAAGACAAUGAUGUUUGUUGGAGUUAAGUCAGUGUAAAGGCAAUGUGUGGGAUUCAGUCUUCUUGGGACCAUUAAUGCAUUAAUUCUCACUUAAAUCAUUGUGCACAUUGGAACCAGCUGACGAGGUAUAAUAUGUAUUCUGGAUAUAUAGAGAGAAAUAAAAUUUCAAUGCCUCUCUGCUCAUAGAGCAGGCUUCUGAACUCUAGGCCCAACUUGUCUAAAGCCCGGGAGUUUUAACCCUCAGUUGUUUUGAGGUGGUGGGCAUGUUGGACUACUAUUUCUAGGAAACUUCCUCCAUGGUACUCAUUAAUAAGUUACUAGUGACUCUUGGGAGAAAAUAACCAGGUUAGCCCCACUGUCUUCUCCAUGGCAAGUUCUCUUAGAAUGCAUAAAGAAGAAGUCUCUGCUAUAGAUGAAGGAUGUGUGGUUUAUUCUAACAAAAUCAGUGAUAAUAUUCUGCAGAACACUUUGUGAUUACUAUGAUCAUAAUUCUACAAAUAACUAUCAGUAUUUUCUUUAGUUUAUACUUUAUAAUAAUACAUAAUCACUACCUCUGAUUUCACAUCACCUUUCCUGGUAUUUUCAAUAGGCCAGGCUCUCUCCACCCCCUUUUUAUUUGGUAUUGUUGUAAGAAUUUAUUCUCAUUUAACACAAACC
rnacentral:lncRNA from 1 species